UGUGUAGGCGGUUCUUUAAGUUUGGUGUGAAAUCUCCCGGCUUAACCGGGAGGGUGCGCCGAAUACUGAGGGACUAGAGUACGGGAGAGGAAAGUGGAAUUCCUGGUGUAGCGGUGAAAUGCGUAGAUAUCAGGAGGAACACCGGUGGUGUAGACGGCUUUCUGGACCGUAACUGACGCUGAGACACGAAAGCGUGGGUAGCAAACAGGAUUAGAUACCCUGGUAGUCCACGCCCUAAACGAUGCAUAUUUGGUGUGGGCAGUUCAUUCUGUCCGUGCCGGAGCUAACGCGUUAAAUAUGCCGCCUGGGGAGUACAGUCGCAAGGCUGAA
rnacentral:rRNA from 1 species